GACGAACGCUGGCGGCGUGCUUAACACAUGCAAGUCGAGCGGUAAGGCCCUUUCGGGGGUACGACGAGCGGCGAACGGGUGAGUAACACGUGGGUGACCUGCCUUUAGCUCUGGGAUAAGCCUGGGAAACUGGGUCUAAUACCGGAUAUGACCCUAUGGCGCAUGUUGUGGGGUGGAAAGCCUUGUGCGGCUAGGGAUGGGCCCGCGGCCUAUCAGCUUGUUGGUGGGGUGAUGGCCACCAAGGCGACGACGGGUAGCCGGCCUGAGAGGGCGACCGGCCACACUGGGACUGAGACACGGCCCAGACUCCUACGGGAGGCAGCAGUGGGGAAUCUUGCGCAAUGGGCGAAAGCCUGACGCAGCGACGCCGCGUGAGGGAUGACGGCCUCGG
rnacentral:rRNA from 1 species